rnacentral:rRNA from 1 species
UACAGUUUCCGGUAGGCUACACAUGCAGCCGAGCGGUAUGGAUAGCUCGCUAUCUAUGAGAGCGGCGUACGGGUGCGUAACACGUGUGCAACCUACCUUUAUCUGGGGGAUAGCCUUUCGAAAGGAAGAUUAAUACCCCAUAAUAUAAUGAUUGGCAUCAAUUAUUAUUGAAAACUCCGGUGGAUAGAGAUGGGCACGCGCAAGAUUAGAUAGUUGGUGAGGUAACGGCUCACCAAGUCUGUGAUCUUUAGGGGUCCUGAGAGGGAGAUCCCCCACACUGGUACUGAGACACGGACCAGACUCCUACGGGAGGCAGCAGUGAGGAAUAUUGGACAAUGGGUGAAAGCCUGAUCCAGCCAUCCCGCGUGAAGGAUGACGGUCCUAUGGAUUGUAAACUUCUUUUGUACAGGGAUAAACCUACUCUCGUGAGGGUAGCUGAAGGUACUGUACGAAUAAGCACCGGCUAACUCCGUGCCAGCAGCCGCGGUAAUACGGAGGGUGCAAGCGUUAUCCGGAUUUAUUGGGUUUAAAGGGUCCGUAGGCGGACCUGUAAGUCAGUGGUGAAAUCUCAUAGCUUAACUAUGAAACUGCCAUUGAUACUGCAGGUCUUGAGUAAAUUUGAAGUGGCUGGAAUAAGUAGUGUAGCGGUGAAAUGCAUAGAUAUUACUUAGAACACCAAUUGCGAAGGCAGGUCACUAAGAUUUAACUGACGCUGAUGGACGAAAGCGUGGGUAGCGAACAGGAUUAGAUACCCUGGUAGUCCACGCCGUAAACGAUGCUAACUCGUUUUUGGAUUUUCGGAUUCAGAGACCAAGCGAAAGUGAUAAGUUAGCCACCUGGGGAGUACGU